UUUGCCAGAGUUCAUUGGUACCUGCUUCGCGGAGUUUGUUGCUGCGAGUGUCCUUGUGGUUCUAGGUACGCUUCUUCACUUCUUCACUCCAGUCUCACAUGGACAAUCCACGGAGGCUCAAGUUGUCGUUCGGAUCUUCAUGUAGGGGUGCAGAUUGAGGUCAGAGACACAACGGAACAAAUCAUUGAUUCAUAUCAAGACUACGUUACAGUUACCCACAUAAAGAAUUUUCGUUAACCUUGGUGAUGCCAGUCCCUCCCUAAUGGCUUCAUUCAUGAUCGGUGUAUUUUUCUGGGCCAUGGGUUGUCUCGCGCUAGCAUCUUGUUUGCUGGUGGUGGUCGAUUCUCGGCAGAAGCUGUGGUGAGAGCUUUCUGCUGAGAGUUUCUGAUGACUGCAAUAUUCCCACCUCAUACAUUAGCAUUCAUUUCGUGCAUUCCAACCCCAAUUUACUUAAAUUCUAACCUUUAAAAAUUAGAGUAACUACCCGCACUUUCAUGCAUGGGAGACACUACGAGGACAAUAAAGAACUUGAGGAUAUCUGCGCUGAUGCUGAUAAACCAUCCAGGCAACUUUGCGGUCCGUAAGUUGAUCACCUGAAUGUGUCCCUUGCGUUUUUAUUCCCUUGUUGCGUGCUUUGGACUUAUCUCUGACACGUCUAUGGCGUCGUAUGCUGAUGUCAAUGUAACAGCAGAGUGUUGGAGUUGCCGUUUGUACUUGCCAUGCCAUAUUCCACAGGUUCAACCGAUGCAGGAUAAUCUGUAAGCUCGCAAGAGUCUUGUUCAGCAUCACUCUCGUCCGGAAGCUACUGAUUUAGGAAUAUGUAUCCUGCUACGGGUUUGGAGAAUCAUGGUGACCAAGAGGAGAGCUGGGUUUCAUAAGCAUAACGUUGUCCAACCUUGAGAGUCCCAUGGAACAAUUCCAAGCCUUGUUUAUGCUUGGAAUUGGUUUCUUCACAGAUUUAGGUUGAUUCUUCGUCCACUUCCAUCAAUUUCGUUACGGAUAAUAAGUUCCACCUUGUCAAGGCGUUGGUGCUAAAAUGCAUCGUUCCCUUGAAUGAGAAAUUUCUCUACCGCUCGAAGUUGGGCUGUUCUCAGAUCCUCAACGUUCAAAAACUGUCGAGAUCGGGAAGGUCGCUUCAUUGCCCCAGCAAUGAAUAUACACAUGAAGGCACUGCUGGUGUUCUGUUACGCUACGCAGCAUUGUGAAUGGAUUCCAAUUCCUGCGAAGAAAACUGCUGGUUCUGCUACUGCGAAUGCCGCCCAGAUUUGAUUUGGUGAUGCACAAGAACAAACUCCCAAAACUGACGAAGUGAGUGAGUGACAAUGAAAAAUCUGAGUAUUUCACCCAUCCUUACAAAAACCUUAAUUUCGGUUGAUUGCUGUACUACUAAUGUUUGUGGUUUCUGCAAUGCUGCAAGCUGGAUCUGAGGCUUCAACUUCACUUUGAUCUGUGCAUGCUUAGUAGUUGUUUCUUUUAGUAGAUUAAUCGAGUAUGGAAAUGAAGUAUAACAUAGGCAAACAUGUUGCCAACAGUACAUGGCUCAAUAUGUGUGUGCAUUAGUGCUUCGUGUGUUGCAUGAUGUGCUACCACAAGCAGAGGCAAAUCAAGAACAGAACAGAAGGUGAAGGCCUUGAAACAAACCCAAGUGCUAAUUUAAUGGCAUGGGCAAUGGGCUUAUGAUUAAUUCUAUUGACGAAAUUACUUUUUCUUCAAUUAAGCACUGUGAAUUCUAAUUUUAA